UUUACAUUUCAUAGGUCGGUGAAAUUCAAAGUGAAUGGUUAAAACAACUGUACAAGACUAUCCAGAGCUACAAGCCACAGUUCAUUGCCCUGCACUUCCAGGAGGUUGGAGGAAAGGACUACAUGUUAAACAUGGGCCAUGCAGAAAACUUCUUCUGGACCCUCGAGUCCAGUGAAGAAAUGAAAGACUUUGACAGGUCUUGCAUUUAUGUGGACAACCAGUUCAAAGUAGAAGAUAGCUUCACGGUAAGAAACACAAAAACGUCUCAUACAGAGUAGU